UACGGAGGAUGCAAGCGUUAUCCGGAAUGAUUGGGCGUAAAGCGUCCGCAGGUGGCAAUGUAAGUCUGCUGUCAAAGCGUCUGGCUCAACCAGAUAAAGGCAGUGGAAACUACAUAGCUAGAGUAAGGUAGGGGUAGAGGGAAUUCCUGGUGUAGCGGUGAAAUGCGUAGAGAUUGGGAAGAACAUCGGUGGCGAAAGCGCUCUACUGGACCUCAUCUGACACUCAGGGACGAAAGCUAGGGGAGCGAAUGGG
rnacentral:rRNA from 1 species